rnacentral:rRNA from 1 species
GCUUGCUCCCCGGGUGACGAGCGGCGGACGGGUGAGUAAUGUCUGGGAAACUGCCUGAUGGAGGGGGAUAACUACUGGAAACGGUAGCUAAUACCGCAUAACGUCGCAAGACCAAAGAGGGGGACCUUCGGGCCUCUUGCCAUCAGAUGUGCCCAGACGGGAUUAGCUAGUAGGUGGGGUAAUGGCUCACCUAGGCGACGAUCCCUAGCUGGUCUGAGAGGAUGACCAGCCACACUGGAACUGAGACACGGUCCAGACUCCUACGGGAGGCAGCAGUGGGGAAUAUUGCACAAUGGGCGCAAGCCUGAUGCAGCCAUGCCGCGUGUGUGAAGAAGGCCUUCGGGUUGUAAAGCACUUUCAGCGAGGAGGAAGGUGGUGAGCUUAAUACGCUCAUCAAUUGACGUUACUCGCAGAAGAAGCACCGGCUAACUCCGUGCCAGCAGCCGCGGUAAUACGGAGGGUGCAAGCGUUAAUCGGAAUUACUGGGCGUAAAGCGCACGCAGGCGGUUUGUUAAGUCAGAUGUGAAAUCCCCGGGCUCAACCUGGGAACUGCAUUUGAAACUGGCAAGCUAGAGUCUCGUAGAGGGGGGUAGAAUUCCA